CACGUAGGGUGCAAGCGUUGUCCGGAAUUAUUGGGCGUAAAGAGCUCGUAGGCGGUCUGUUGCGUCCGCUGUGAAAACUCGGGGCUUAACCCCGAGCCUGCAGUGGAUACGGGCAGACUAGAGGUAGGUAGGGGAGAAUGGAAUUCCCGGUGUAGCGGUGAAAUGCGCAGAUAUCGGGAGGAACACCGGUGGCGAAGGCGGUUCUCUGGGCCUUACCUGACGCUGAGGAGCGAAAGCAUGGGUAGCGAACAGG
rnacentral:rRNA from 1 species